rnacentral:rRNA from 1 species
GUAUUGCUAGCUUGGUGGUUGUAGCAUGAGUGAAACA